rnacentral:rRNA from 1 species
GCGUUGUCCGGAAUCAUUGGGCGUAAAGCGCGUGUAGGCGGCCCGGUAAGUCCGCUGUGAAAGUCGGGGGCUCAACCCUCGAAUGCCGGUGGAUACUGUCGGGCUAGAGUGCGGAAGAGGCGAGUGGAAUUCCUGGUGUAGCGGUGAAAUGCGCAGAUAUCAGGAGGAACACCAAUUGCGAAGGCAGCUCGCUGGGACGUGACUGACGCUGAGACGCGAAAGCGUGGGGAGCAAACAGG